rnacentral:lncRNA from 1 species
AAAUAUUUAGAGUAAAGAUGGGUUCCAAGGAAGCAGUAGCCAGCAGCAAGCCUCAUGCUGUUUGCAUUCCUCUUCCGGUUCAAAGCCAUGUAAAGGGGAUGCUUAAGUUUGCAAAACUCCUCCACCACAGAGGUUUCCAUAUCACCUUUGUCAACACAGAGUACAUUCACAAGCGCUUCCUCAAGUCUCUUGGACCCAACUCCCUCGACGGCUUGCCUAGUUUUCGAUUCGAAUCCAUACCAGACGGCAUUCCAAGCUCAGAAGAAGACACCACUCAAUACAUUCGUUUGCUUGGUGAGUCAGUCACGAAUUAUUUACCGGCUCCAUUUCGUGAUCUCCUCAUGAAACUCAAUGGCACGGCCAAUAUUCCUCCGUUGUCUCACAUGGUUUCGGAUGGUUGGAUGAGCUUCACCAUCACAGCAGCUGAAGAAAUUGGAAUCCCUGUGGUACUCUUCUUCACUAUGUCUGCAAGCGGCGUCAUGGGAUAUAAGCAGUUUCCUACUUUGCUGGAAAAGGGACUUGCUCCACUCAAAGGUAAAACAAAAGAGAGAUUAUUUCAACAAACUUUAUUAAAACGACAAGUAUAAGUACCAAAUCAAACUUUAUUUCAACAACUUACAAAUUGUAUUGGAAACCUUGUCUAUUUUCUCAUUAUUGUUGAGGACAUGUGAGGUACAUAUAAAAGCUUACUUUUCUUGACUUGGGUAUUUGCAGAUGAAACCUGGUUAACAAAUGGCUUUCUUGACAAUGUCAUAGAUUGGGUUCCAGCUAUGAAAGGUAUCAGGUUAAGGGAUCUCCCAAACAACUUUAUUACCACAGACCCUGCCGAAGCAUCUUGGAUCUUCUGCUUGGAAGCAAUCCAAAGAUUUGGUAAAGGUACAGCAAUUGUUCUUCAUAGUUUUGAUGCAUUGGAGAAAGAAGUUUUGGAUGCUCUCUCAUCCAUGUUUCCACUUGUUUAUGCAAUUGGCCCUCUCCAGUUACUUCUUAACCAGGUACCGGAGCACCCUUUGAAGGCUAUGGGGUAUAGUCUGUGGAAAGAAGGAACUGAGUGGCUCAAAUGGCUAAAUUCUAAGGAACCAAACUCUGUUGUUUAUGUCAAUUUUGGAAGUUUAGCGGUCUUAACACCAGAACAGCUUGUGGAGUUUGGUUGGGGACUGGCAAACAGCAAGCUUCCCUUCUUUUGGGUAAUUAGGCCUGAUCUGGUUGUUGGUAAAUCGGCGAUUUUUCCACCCGAGUUUGAGGCUGAAACUAAGGAAAGAGGCCUUAUAGCAAGUUGGUGCCCACAAGAGCAAGUCCUUGAGCACUCAUCAGUUGGAGGAUUUUUAACACAUAGUGGUUGGAAUUCAACCAUUGAGAGCCUAUGUGCAGGUGUGCCUAUGCUCUCCUUGCCAAUCUUUACUGACCAGCAAACGAAUUGUCAUUGUGUUUGUAAUUUGUGGGGAAUUGGCAUGGAGAUUAGUAAAGAUGCCAAGAGAGACCAAGUGGAAAAGCUUGUUAAAGAGUUGAUGGGGGGAGAGAAAGGUAAGCAAUUGAAAAACAAGGUCAUGGAGUGGAAGAAACUGGCAGAAGAAGCCGCUAGUCCACAUGGUUCUUCAUCUGCAAAUUUAGACAACUUUGUGAAUCAAGUACUAUUAAGGAAAAGCUAGAUGUUACAUGUGUACGGAAUGUCUUUAAUUAUCUUGUCGAUGAUAUAUCUUCGUGUUCUUCAAAACUUUUAAUAAAAUUUUCUUGAAAUUAAAUUACGAGAAAACGUGUCCAAGGUAAUUUUGUAUGUAUGAUUUGUGGGGUACAAUCUAUAUGUGUAUCAUGUAUAAAGAAAUUCCUGUGAUUUGAUGUCCAAUUAAUCUUGAAUAGGAAAUGAAGUUUGGUCACAGGUGCUUGUACAAAUUGAGACCACAAGAAGUGUUUAUAUAAGUUCGAUUGUGGGAGGAUAUCAGUUGUGUAUGAUGCUGGAUGAGGACUGAAGGACUGAAGAAGUGGGUUAGGCAACUGGCAGACACAUUCGAACCAAAGACAGGACAUUAACAUCAUGAUAAAUAAUUAUAUGUAUUGAGUCCCGUUUUGUUUGAGGGAUCCCUCAAGUAAUGUUACUCAUGUCCUGCCUUGAAAUUUCUUCUUUAAGGUAUUCCAUGCUGCCCUUGCAGUUGUGGCUCCCAUGAUUCUUGGAAAAAGCGUAUCAUGCAAGGCUUGUUAUAAGGCCUUUGCAUCUUUUUGUUGAUUUUUCUUCAGUUGCCUCAACUGUUCUACGGUUGAAUUUUCUAGAUUAUUGAAACCAUUAUCAACUAUGUCCCAUAAAUCUUGAGACAUAAAAUAGGUCUUCAUUUUAAUACUCCAGAAGUUAUAGUUUUCUUCCGUGAAAAUAGGAAGAGGGUCAGAGUUUUAGCUAGUGGUUGACAUAUUGGUGGAUGACUAGUGAACCAAUGCCCAAAGUUGAUCAGAACAAGCUCUGAUACCACUGUUGGGUAAAUACAUAAUUGGACUGCUAGCUAUAUAUAUAGAGUAGCUAAGUCGGCAGCUUGCUUUGGAAAAGUCGGUUGCUCAUGCAAAUAACUUUUCCAAAGUCAUUUUCAGCCACAAUUGUUCUCCUUAUUCUAGAUUUCUAUAGUCAUAGUAUAUGGAUAUUUCUAGUGAUUUUAACUUGUUUAUUUUCUGUUGACCCAAAAACAAAACAAAAACUUAUCCACUUUCUCUCAAAUUUUCUAAAUUUUUCUAUAUUAUUCAAGACCUUUCUAUAUUAUUCUAGUACAAGUGUGCAUUAUUUGGUUAACACAGUCAUUGGCAUGAUAGCCACACAAAAACAAUCUUUUCGUUUUGGGUAAAACCCACACAAAAGAUGUUGCCAACCCUAUAAAACUCUGCAUUUAUGAGAGUGCAAAUACAUACACAAAAUACACAAAACAAAUAUUUAGAGUAGAGAUGGGUUCCAAGGAAGCAGUAGCCAACAGCAAGCCUCAUGUUGUUUGCAUUCCUGUUCCAGUUCAAAGCCAUGUAAAGGGGAUGCUUAAGUUUGCAAAACUCCUCCACCACAGAGGUUUCCAUAUCACCUUUGUCAACACCGAGUACAUUCACAAGCGCUUCCUCAAGUCUCUUGGACCCAACUCCCUCGAAGGCUUGCCUAAUUUUCGAUUUGAAACCAUACCAGACGGCAUUCCAAGCUCAGAAGACACCACUCAAUACAUUCGUUUGCUUGG